rnacentral:lncRNA from 10 species
UCAAACCAUAACAGGCCUGUAUGUUAGGUUUAUAACUACUAUGGAAAGGACUGAUGUAAACUCAGCCUCAAACUUGGCGUCUCAGGUCAGUCAGAAAAGUGCCUAAAGCUUCUUCACUCUGAAAUAUCAGCAUAUUGAGACAUCAAAGGAUAAAAAAUUCUGUGCAAAAUGUUGACUCUGCAACUUAAAGACAAAUAUGGCUUGCAUAACAUAAGGGUACAAGGUGAAACUCUUUAAUCAUGAUGAGAAAGCAGAAAGACAUUGUAUUUUGCAGGCAAGAGAAUAAACUUGAUCUCUGCAGGAAAGUCAUGAUAAAAACAGGUAU